UACGGAGGGAGCUAGCGUUGUUCGGAAAUACUGGGCGUAAAGCGCACGUAGGCGGCGCAGCAAGUCAGGGGUGAAAUCCCGGGGCUCCAACCCCGGAACUGCCCUUGAAACUGCAGUGCUAGAAUUCUGGAGAGGCGAGUGGAAUUCCGAGUGUAGAGGUGAAAUUCGUAGAUAUUCGGAAGAACACCAGUGGCGAAGGCGACUCGCUGGACAGACAUUGACGCUGAGGUGCGAAAGCGUGGGGAGCAAACAGG
rnacentral:rRNA from 1 species